rnacentral:lncRNA from 1 species
AGCAGAGAGAAAUCCUAUCUGUUGGGACAUGCUGUGCUCAGGACUGCAGGAAGAUCUCUGAGGCAGGGGAGGAGAGUGAUCAGGAAACAGAGAGUGGCCCAGAUGGUGUCAGCAAGCCCAGGAUGCAGACCCCAGGCAGGGCCUGGACCACUUUUCACAGAAGGCUCCAUUCAAAACGGAUACAGGAAAGAACUCAGGCAGGUGCUGAACUACCCAUCCUUCGCAUCAUCUCCAGCCUCACCCGUGAAAACUUGAAGCUAUGCUCAGAAGUGGGAGACCAUUUGGCGAUCUUUUCGGUAAAUACAGCAAAAGGGAGAAAAAAGAACAAUACCUAAUGGAUCCAACUCCUGCGUCCAAGCAGACAGUUUAACCCCUGGGUCAUCGUGCUUGUAUUUCACUUAUUGGAUUGUUAAUAGAUUUUCUUCAUUUGUGUGAGACGUUGCGAAUGAUGUGCGGAGGCCGCCGCUUCCUCCGGCGCUGGGACUCGAGGUCCACCUGUAAGGAGAUGGCGUUAAAAGCUGCUGGAGUUGCUGCCUCCUGACAACAUCCCAGCUGUAGACUCGCAAUCGCAAUCCUCGGGUGGCAGUUUUAAUUAUCGGCACCGCGAUACCAUCAGCAAGUGUGUAAUUACGUGUCAGUUUCCUGGCUGUUGGGUAUGAAAAGUGGAUCCAGUGAAAUGAUGAUUGUGGAAGCUGUAGACUCAUAUUUAAACAAUUCAAAAUGUGUAACUGGCAGUGUCAUUAAACAGAGAGAGCCUGACCCCAGCUGUCACUUACUUUCCCUUAUGCAGAUUUGUUCGUGCUGUCUGUCAAAAGAACUCCAUGGGCUGAAAUGGGACAGAGGGAGGUGACAUAAUUCUCCGAGCAAAGAGGGCUGCUCUCCUUAACCCCACAGAGGCGUUCUUUUAGCCUAAACAAAUACGACUGCUGAAAUUGUAAAUAAACCAAGACCAUUACGGGAAAUUAUAUAGACUUUUGCCGAUGAAUACACAAAGGCAGAAUAUCAAACAGACAUCCCUUCUUAAAAAAUGUGAAUAAAACCUGCCCGAUUGUCAUGCACUUAAAGAAGAAGUACUGUGGUAAUUGGGAGGGUUGAUGUUUGAAGCAGAAAAUUAAAUGACCCUUUUAGUUUGAGAUCAAAAUGGUGGGUGCAAGAUGAAGAAAAGGGGGGGCUUAUUUUGAAAACUGCUCUGUAUCAACAGUGAGAAACAUGAAUGGAUAAAAAAAAUUACACAGAUUUAAAUAAACUUCAGUAUGGCUUAGGUUAUAA